AAAAAAGAUUGGAUAUGUUAAAUUUUUAUUAAAUGAUGCUCUUAGGCUUCGUUUGGGAUUACGGGGAGAUUGCGUUACGUGCGGUGAGAAAGUACGUUGGAAAAAUACCCUGUUUGUUUUCGUAAGUAAUAUUGCGUUCCACAUAUCGCGAUGAGUCGAUUACGAUAUAUUUUCUGCGGUCCCACCAGAGAACGCAGAAGCAUAUCCCUAUAUGCUUUUUCCUCAAAUCCAUUUUAUCUAAUAGCGUUUGAUAGGCCUCAAAUUCAAACUAAGC
rnacentral:lncRNA from 1 species